ensembl:lncRNA
CAGAGGGCCAUCUCGCCGGAUCUGUUCAUACCUCACCCCGAUUUCUACAUCAAUGAUUUCACGCAAGUGGACUACGAAACAAUCGAUAAUGCAGUGAGUAACAGCAGAAAUCCGGCCGUUUUCCACGGCGAAUUAGAAGCCAUAUCCCCCGCAGAAUCUCCGCUGCCGCCGCAUCGAAGAGAAGACGGCACUAUUUCCGUCUCCGCAUACCGGGAGAACCGCGGAGAAAAAAGUUUUAAAAUCGAAGAGGUAACCGAGAAUAUACAGACCCCGCCGCAGCGAAAAGAAGAAGAAGAAGAAGAAGACGACGACGUUAUUUUCGUCAACGCAUACCGGGAGAACUGCAGGAAAAUACCUUUUAAACCAAAAGCCGAGAUUGCGGAUAUACCUAUUCAACCCCCCUCCGCUACAGACAAUUGCGCGGAGGAGCGAGCCGAGAUUGCGGAUUUACCUAACCAAUCCCCCGCCGCUACAGACAAUCGGGCGGAGGAGCGAGAGACCGAUACAGAAAAUCAGACUGAAGAAAAUCAGGUUGAGGAGGAACCGUCCAGAUCGCCUCCUCUCAGGAGAGUGAGAGCUCCUCUCGGAAGACUGAGAGCUCGACGGAUGCUUCAUAAGAAGAGAAUCCUUGAAAAACUCGCUUUCAUGUACGUCGCAACAGUUCGCACAUAUGCAUCGAUGUACAGACACAAGGACCUGUAAAGUAAAAGCAUGUAAAAGUCUGUGAAUUAAGAAAUAAAGAAAAUCAUGUCGG